GAUUAUCAUAAAUCUGCAGAGAAGUGACAGUCAAACAGCCAUAAAGGAAACUUCUGUGAGUCAAGGAAAACAUCUCCAUGAAGAUAACCUGAGAAGAGGUGAUGAACAACUGCCCAGGAUCCUCUUCUCUCAAAAAGAAGCCACUCAAGAGUGACUCCAGUCUUGUCUAUACACAAACUUGCACCAGCAGGACUGGGAACAAAAAAUCAGCCUGGAGAUGUGGAGAGAUCAGUUGAAAACUUGGCUCACUUGCUGUCUUCCCCGGCCUUAGCUACACAGGAAUAGCAGCGCUGUCAAACACACCUGUGGAUUUCAAGCAAAGAAUUCCAGAAGAUCAGUGAUUGACAAGGAAAAAGUAAGGUUUCUCUGGAGAAUGUUCUUCGAUAUUAAGAACGUUUUAAAUAAUAUGUCUUGAAAACCCUUUCACAGAUCUUUCCAUAGAUUGCUAAAUUUUGUUUGGUUAAAUUGUUGUUGUUCCAUUUUCCUUUUGCAAACAAACUUUUCAUUAUAAAGAACUGCAUUUCCUUUCCCUUCAAACAAGAAAAUUUAAUUUGGUGCCUACAUGACUUUGACUAUUUGCAGCUUUGCAGCAUGGUUUUUCAUUUUAAAAAGGAAAUUGUUAGUUGGUAGGGUUGUUCUUGUAUUUGAAAUUUUAAAAUUUGGUUGCUCUAGGUGGGAUUUUGUUUGUCUUGUCUUCAUUUAUUUUAUAAAGACAAAAUGUGUAGUUUG